rnacentral:rRNA from 1 species
UACGGAGGGUGCAAGCGUUAUCCGGAUUCACUGGGUUUAAAGGGUGCGUAGGCGGGCAGGUAAGUCCGUGGUGAAAUCUCUGAGCUUAACUCAGAAACUGCCAUGGAUACUAUUUGUCUUGAAUAUUGUGGAGGUAAGCGGAAUAUGUCAUGUAGCGGUGAAAUGCCUAGAUAUGACAUAGAACACCAAUUGCGAAGGCAGCUUACUACACAGUUAUUGACGCUGAGGCACGAAAGCGUGGGGGGAUCAAACAGG